rnacentral:lncRNA from 1 species
GAACUUAGGGGAGCACUAUUUGUACCAUACUUGACCAAUCCCAAAACUACUGAGCACCGGUCAACGUUAAACCGUCAAGGACCCAGAAGAGUUUCCCUCCAACCAGGAGGCCAAUCACAACGCGACACGUGUCGACAUCAGAAGCCAAUCAUAGCACGACACGUGUCAAUAUCAGAAGCCAAUCACAACACGACACGUGUCAAUGUCAGAAUGAAACUAGAAACUCUCUUCUAUAAAUAGAGAUCAUUCUCUCACAAUAUUUCCUAAUGUCAUUUGUACUAAAUCAUUUACUAGUACUCACAAAAGGAGAGCUUGAACCUAUGUACUUGUGUAAA